rnacentral:rRNA from 1 species
AGUAACUGCGAGUGAAGAGGGAAGAGCUCAUCAUUGGAAUCUGGCAGUGUUGCACUGUCCGAGUUGUAGAUGAGGAGUAGUCCGUCUGGACUGCAUGGCGUCCAAGUACAAUAGGCCGUCAGUGGGACAUCAUAGAGGGUGACAAUCCCGUCCUUGACGCCAAUGUGCAAGUCUAUUACGAUGGCUAUCUCAGAGAGUCGAGCAGUUUGGGAUUUGCUGCUUAAACAUGGGAGGUAGAUUCCUUCUAAAGCUAAAUACAGGCGAGAGACCGAUAGAGAACAAGUACCGCAAGGGAAAGAUGAAAUAGCACUCUGUGAAGGGAGUCAAAAGGCGUGAAAUUGUUGCGAGAGAAGCGAUUCAAGUCAGCGUAGCUAGGCCCAUCAAGCGUCUUCGCUUUGGACUAGCUUUGCCAGCGGUCUUGUCCCUUGAAGAGACUUGACUUGUAAUAUGUCCAGCCUGGCGUGCACAGGCAGCCCCUUCUGGGGGCCAGUGGCAUGGCUGGUGGAAUGGCUUGCAAUCGACCCGUCUUGAAACACGGACCAAGGAGUCUAACAUGUAUGCGAGUAUAAGGGUGGCAAACCCGUAUGCGCAAUGAAAGUGAUUUUCGGUGAUUGAGAAUGGCCUGAUGACCAGACAAGCAAUAUAUGUCCCUCGUACGGCCAUUGCCCAAGUUCCGUGGUAGAUCCCACGAACAUGGAGUUGGAGCAUACAUGCUAGGACCCGAAAGAUGGUGAACUAUGCCUGGACAAAGCGAAGCCAAAGGAAACUCUGGUGGAGGCUUGUAGCGAUUCUGACGUGCAAAUCGAUCGUCUGAUCUGGGUAUAGGGGCGAAAGACUAAUCGA